rnacentral:rRNA from 1 species
CUACGGAGGGUGCAAGCGUUAAUCGGAAUUACUGGGCGUAAAGCGUACGUAGGCGGUUCGUUAAGUUAGAUGUGAAAGCCCCGGGCUUAACCUGGGAACUGCAUUUAAAACUGGCGAACUUGAGUUGAGUAGAGGGGAGUGGAAUUUCAGGUGUAGCGGUGAAAUGCGUAGAGAUCUGAAGGAACACCAGUGGCGAAGGCGACUCCCUGGACUCGAACUGACGCUGAGGUACGAAAGCGUGGGUAGCAAACGGGAUUAGAAACCCUAGUAGUCC